CCAAACAUAAAAUAAUAAUUUAAUUUAUUUUAUAAUUUACAUAAUUAAACAUACGGCAUUACUUAUAUUUUAAUUGUAACCAGGUGGCGAUGUUUGACGUAAACAGUCAAAGAUGGCCGAGCAAAGUAAUGGAGAGAGUAGUGGUUCUUGGUGGAGUAGUUGGAUCGAAACUGCUAAACUGAAAUCAUCUGAAGCAUUAGAAUUUAUGAAAAGAGAUUUAACAGAACUCUCUCAAACUGUUCAACAAGAUACUGCUGCUGCAGUUAAUACAACUGCUGCUAUUUUGAAAGACAAAUUACGAGU